rnacentral:lncRNA from 1 species
CCAAGCCAGAAUUCAUCCUCAAAGGACCUUGGAAAAAGAGGCAGGACAGACCCUUGAGGACUUCGCGUUUCCAGAAGCCAUCCUCAAAGUGCUCAGCUUGGAAAAAGAGAGAAAGCACAGCAGCACAUUAAGAAACAUCAAAAGCCCAGAGAGGUGCGCACACUUGCAGAGAGUCACACAGCCAGAGAAUUCUCAGGACUCAGGGAGAAGUGGAGAUCCGCAGCCAGAACAAGGUACCCAGCGGGAGCCCUCCUUCCCCAACCCCCUCACUCGCCUGCACCGCGACCUGGGCCCCCUCCUCGCGG